GAUGGGUGCAGUGGUGUACACCUGUAAUCCCAGCAGCUCAGGGACUGAGACAGGAGGAUCAUGAGUUCAAAGCCAGCCUCAGCAAAAGUGAGGUGCUAAGCAACUUAAUGAGACCCUGUCUCUA
rnacentral:sRNA from 1 species